rnacentral:rRNA from 1 species
AUUGAACGCUGGCGGCAGGCCUAACACAUGCAAGUCGAGCGGAUGAAGGGAGCUUGCUCCUGGAUUCAGCGGCGGACGGGUGAGUAAUGCCUAGGAAUCUGCCUGGUAGUGGGGGAUAACGUCCGGAAACGGGCGCUAAUACCGCAUACGUCCUGAGGGAGAAAGUGGGGGAUCUUCGGACCUCACGCUCUCAGAUGAGCCUAGGUCGGAUUAGCUAGUUGGUGGGGUAAAGGCCUACCAAGGCGACGAUCCGUAACUGGUCUGAGAGGAUGAUCAGUCACACUGGAACUGAGACACGGUCCAGACUCCUACGGGAGGCAGCAGUCGGGAAUAUUGGACAAUGGGCGAAAGCCUGAUCCAGCCAUGCCGCGUGUGUGAAGAAGGUCUUCGGAUUGUAAAGCACUUUAAGUUGGGAGGAAGGGCAGUAAGUUAAUACCUUGCUGUUUUGACGUUACCAACAGAAUAAGCACCGGCUAACUUCGUG